UGAAUAUCACUACACGCAAACCUGUCCGUGUCAUUCGAGGGUCCAACCUCAAAAACGAAUUUGCACCUGAAUACGGAUAUAGAUACGAUGGUCUAUACACGGUUGAAAAGUAUUGGCAAUGCGUAAGGAAAUCUGGGUUUAAAGUUUACAAAUUUGCUUUGAGAAGGUGCCCCGAUCAAGCCCCACCACCCUGGGUCUCUGGCGUCGUAUCUUACGCCAAUGCCGCGAGUUCGGCCGAAGAAGAUGGUUAAGACAUGGACGAUGACGAUGCCGAGGAACAGAAACCUACCGUCCUUAAAGUAAAAUUAUUUAACAAGUGAAUGUCGCUCAUAUUUAACCUUCUUUU